rnacentral:rRNA from 1 species
GACGAACGCUGGCGGCGUGCCUAAUACAUGCAAGUUGAGCGCUGAAGAUUGGUACUUGUACCGAUUGGAUGAGCAGCGAACGGGUGAGUAACGCGUGGGGAAUCUGCCUUUGAGCGGGGGACAACAUUUAGAAACGAAUGCUAAUACCGCAUAAUAGCUUUAAACAUAAGUUUUAAGUUUGAAAGAUGCAAUUGCAUCACUCAAAGAUGAUCCCGCGUUGUAUUAGCUAGUUGGUGAGGUAAAGGCUCACCAAGGCGAUGAUACAUAGCCGACCUGAGAGGGUGAUCGGCCACAUUGGGACUGAGACACGGCCCAAACUCCUACGGGAGGCAGCAGUAGGGAAUCUUCGGCAAUGGACGAAAGUCUGACCGAGCAACGCCGCGUGAGUGAAGAAGGUUUUCGGAUCGUAAAACUCUGUUGUUAGAGAAGAACGACGAGGAGAGUGGAAAGCUCCUCGUGUGACGGUAUCUAACCAGAAAGGGACGGCUAACUACGUGCCAGCCGCCGCCGUAA